rnacentral:rRNA from 1 species
UACGUAGGGGGCUAGCGUUGUCCGGAAUCAUUGGGCGUAAAGCGCGUGUAGGCGGCCCGGUAAGUCCGCUGUAAAAGUCGGGGGCUCAACCCUCGAAAGCCGGUGGAUACUGUCGGGCUCGAGUACGGAAGAGGCGAGUGGAAUUCCUGGUGUAGCGGUGGAAUGCGUAGAGAUCCGGAGGAAGACCAGUGGCGAAGGCGGGUCUCUGG